GACGUAGGGCGCGAGCGUUGUCCGGAUUUAUUGGGCGUAAAGAGCUCGUAGGCGGCUUGUCGCGUCGACUGUGAAAACCCGCGGCUCAACCGCGGGCCUGCAGCCGAUACGGGCAGGCUAGAGUUCGGUAGGGGAGACUGGAAUUCUCGGUGUAGCAGUGAAAUGCGUAGAUAUCGAGAGGAACACCAGUGGCGAAGGCGAGUCCCUGGACAACACCUGACACUGAGGCACGAAAGCUAGGGGAGCAAACAGG
rnacentral:rRNA from 1 species